ACCCUUGCCAUGGUGAAGGAACAGGAAACUGUCCUAAAUCUAUCUUCGGAUAUUUAGUCACACCUAAAGCGAGGGUUU
rnacentral:ncRNA from 19 species